rnacentral:lncRNA from 15 species
CCAAGUCAGCAGCCUAGGUACAGCAGUAGUGAUGAAGAGCAGUCAGCUCCUCCUGCACAGGAUGCUGACCAGCCACACCCAGAGGAGGAUCCAGCAGCUCCACCUACUAAGCAUGAUCAUAACCUUCACUUCAGCUACCUGCCUGCUCCUUCCUAUCAGCCACACUGCCUCCACCUUCAGCUCCACUCUGCCUGGAUCUCAGCCAUAACCUUCUCACCAAUGCCAGCAGGAGCUUCACGUCACCAUUUCAUCAACUUGUUCUCAAUAAAGC